rnacentral:rRNA from 1 species
AUUGAACGCUGGCGGCACGCUUAACACAUGCAAGUCGAACGGCAGCACGGGUGCUUGCACCUGGUGGCGAGUGGCGGACGGGUGAGUAACGCUUAGGAAUCUGCCUCAGAGCGGGGGACAACACGGGGAAACUCGUGCUAAUACCGCAUACAUUCUUCGGAACAAAGAUGGCCUCUACUUGUAAGCUAUCGCUUUGAGAUGAGCCUAAGUCGGAUUAGCUUGUUGGUGGGGUAAAGGCCUACCAAGGCGACGAUCCGUAGCUGGUCUGAGAGGAUGAUCAGCCACACUGGGACUGAGACACGGCCCAGACUCCUACGGGAGGCAGCAGUGGGGAAUAUUGGACAAUGGGGGCAACCCUGAUCCAGCGAUGCCGCGUGUGUGAAGAAGGCCUGCGGGUUGUAAAGCACUUUAGUUGGGGAGGAGAGGACUUGUGUGAAUAAUGCAAGUCUGAGACGUUACCCAAAGAAUAAGCACCGGCUAACUCUGUGCCAGCCGCCGCCGUAAGAC